rnacentral:lncRNA from 1 species
CCAAGACCCAGCCUUGCAGGAGAAUGGCACUGGCAGAGAGUGGCCAGGAAGUGGUCUCUAAGAGCUGAGUGGGGCCUUUGCCUCUCUGAGGAUCCGAAUAUACCAACUUCACUCAAGCUCCUGGCCAGCAUGUCUCCUGCCCAGAGAGAUUAAUGGAAGAUUCAGUCAGGAUGGGUCUGGGGGACCCAGUCUCCAUUCAAUUCAAGGGGCUGCGAACUGACAUAUCAGAGAAGCCACCCUGGGACCUUCUGCUGAAAUCAGAGACUAUUUCAAUGGCAGUAUCCUCCCCAAAACAGUCUGCCCGGUAUGCUGGCUUUGGCAUUAUUUCUGCUGGCCCCUCAGGAUUAUGCUGUUAAACUCUUUUUUUUUUUUUUAAUUGUUGUGUGUGUUG